rnacentral:rRNA from 1 species
UACGUAGGGGGCAAGCGUUGUCCGGAAUCAUUGGGCGUAAAGAGCGUGUAGGCGGCCAACUAAGUCAGACGUGAAAUCCCUCAGCUUAACUGGGGAACUGCGUCUGAUACUGGAUGGCUUGAGUUUGGGAGAGGGAUGCGGAAUUCCAGGUGUAGCGGUGAAAUGCGUAGAUAUCUGGAGGAAUACCGGUGGCGAAGGCGGCAUCCUGGACCGGCAUUGACGCUGAUGAGCGAAAGCUAGGGGAGCAAACGGG